GCACUUGAAUCUAUCCCACUUGUGCUGCUUGGUGCUGCAUCGUGAGCAGAGGCUGUGCAGACGGGCAUGCUUUCCUUUCGUCUUGAUGCUGCUGUGGGGACAAACAGCUCUGCAUCGUGAGCAGAGGCUGUCCAGACGGCAUGCUUUCCCUUCAUCUUGGUGCUUCUUCCUACAGCUCUGCCACACUU